CCUACGGGAGGCAGCAGUGAGGAAUAUUGGUCAAUGGCCGUAAGGCUGAACCAGCCAAGUCGCGUGAAGGAAGAAGGAUCUAUGGUUUGUAAACUUCUUUUAUAGGGGAAUAAAGGUAUCCACGUGUGGAUAUUUGCAUGUACCCUAUGAAUAAGCAUCGGCUAACUCCGUGCCAGCAGCCGCGGUAAUACGGAGGAUGCGAGCGUUAUCCGGAUUUAUUGGGGUUAAAGGGUGCGUAGGUUGUUUUUUAAGUCAGCGGUGAAAGUUUGUGGCUCAACCAUAAAAUUGCCGUUGAAACUGGAAGACGUGAGUGUGUUUGAGGUAGGCGGAAUGCGUGGUGUAGCGGUGAAAUGCAUAGAUAUCACGCAGAACUCCGAUUGCGAAGGCAGCUUACUAAGCCAUAACUGACACUGAAGCACGAAAGCGUGGGGAUCAAACAGGAUUAGAUACCCCUGUAGUC
rnacentral:rRNA from 1 species